UACGAAGGGGGCUAGCGUUACUCGGAAUCACUGGGCGUAAAGCGCACGUAGGCGGAUUGCUAAGUCAGGGGUGAAAUCCUGGAGCUCAACUCCAGAACUGCCUUUGAUACUGGCAACCUUGAGUCCGGGAGAGGUGAGUGGAACUGCGAGUGUAGAGGUGAAAUUCGUAGAUAUUGGGAAGAACACCGGUGGCGAAGGCGGCGCUCUGGACCGAGACUGACGCUGAGGCGCGAAAGCGUGGGGAGCAAACAGG
rnacentral:rRNA from 1 species